GCGGUUUGUGCACCAGGUGUCAGUUGACCGUUAAUAUGCUAAUGAGGUGAUUCAUUCUCCGCCAAUCCCUGGAGGACAAGUAGUGGGGUGAUCCAAGCCCCACCAAUCCCUGAGAGUUAAUUAGCAUACUGUUGUCUAUAUAAGCCGAGUGAUUUUGCUGCUCGGAGUCCCUGUUCAAGAGAGCUGUAACACUCAGAAGAGCUGUAACACUAAGAAGAGCUGUAACACAGUAAAGGCUUGCUCGCAGAAGAAUUCUGUUGCCGCGCGUCGUUCUUACUGGCGGGACAUUGGGCGCGUGACAAGUGGUGCCGAAACCUGGAAAACAACAUUGCCGGUACCCAGGGGACCCUUCAGUGUGCUGAAGAGGAUUCAGAACUGCGAGAAGGUAAAUUAAAAGAAUCAAGAAAAUCCAAUUUGGGUACCUGAGCGUUUGACUCGAAGAUUGUCUUCUGCUCUUCCUGAAGAUGAGACUAUGAACCCUACUAUUACUACUGGGAAUGGUAAUACAGGUUAAUUCGCUCACCCUGUGGGCUAUUGCCAGAUCCUGGCCAGUACCCAUGCCAGUUCAUAGCAAUUCUACUGUUUUGAGAAUAAGACUGGCAAGCAUAAUCUCUGGCCUUGGUUUCAAUGGGUGCUGUCCAAUGAGCAAGGGGCAUAUACAUCCCUGACCCCCUUUGCUAGGUUGAUGGGAGAGAACUUCGUGCUGUAUAAUGUUUCAGCUACCAGAAAAAGGUGAUACCAGGUUGAUCAAUAUUCAAUAUAAUAACCUCUUGGUAAAUAAUACUGCCACUAGUACUUCAGUAUGUGCUAGAUCACCUUUUUUCUGAUAAGCACUAAUGUAAGCAGUGGUGCUUUAUAUUGUAAUAGCUCUGAGGUAGUCUGCUAUUUAGCUGAAUGCUGGGAUGGCACCAAUGACACCGCAGUGAUGGUUAAGAUUCCCUCCUUUGUGCCAAUCCCAGUGGAGGCAAACCCAGAUAGCUUUCCUAUUCUUAAUUUGCUGAGAGCCAAAAGAGAUUUUGGAAUUACGGCAGCCAUAAUUUCAGCCAUUGUGCUGUCUGCUGCCGCAGCUACCACAGCUGAAAUCGCUAUGACCAAUCAAAUACAGAUGGCUAAGACUGUCAAUCAGAUUGUAUAAAGAACUGCAGUGGCGCUAGAGAUACAAGAAGAAUUUAAUACCCAUUUGGCAUCUGGCCUUCUAUUAGCCAAUCAAAGGAUAGAUUUAGUUCAAGAACAAAUUGAAGCACUGUAUCAUAUGACACAGCUCUCUUGUGUUUCCUCCCUUAGAGGUUUAUGCAUUAUUCCUUUGCGAGCUAACUUUUCUCAGAAUUUUCAACAGAGCAAAGAAAUCUCGAAUUAUCUGAAAGGAAACUGGUCCAUGAAAGCAGAGCAACUAUCAAGACAAUUGCUGAUGCAGAUUGCUGUCCUCAACAGCACUAGGCUGGACCCCAUCACAGUUGAAGACUUUACCUCAUGGAUUACCAAUGCUUUCUCCCUUGUCAAGGAGUGGGCGGGCAUGUUUGUCCCGGGGAGCUAUUGUCCUCCUGGGAUGCGGAGUAGGUCUCUGGCUAAUUGGCUGUUUAUAAAGAGAACAUGCCAGACACAAAGUGGUUGUUUACCAGGCUAUGACCACCAUUAAAAAGGGUACUUCUCCCAACAUAUGGCUGGCCUCUUUGAAAGAUCAAGAGAUCGCCCUAGAUCAUUUUUGUCACAGUCAUGUGGAGUCAUUGUAUCCAGGGACGGGCAACUUUCCUCGAACUCGGACCAACCUAAGACACGGGGCCCGGUGGCGAUAGGGUAACUCUAUGACGGGUAAGGCCGAGUUUGGAUGAGAACGACCUAAGACAGGAGCAAUGACAAGAUUGACGUGACACCCAGAUCUAGACCAGUCAUUUUAUUAAACAAAAAAGGGGGAGAUGUAGAGAGCGGCGCGGCAAAACAAAGAAGGCGCCGACAUCCAGCCUUGUCUGGAUAUAAACGACUUACUGCGCAUGUGCAGGCUUGUCCCCUUGCUAGGGCUCCCUCUAGUGGUGAACAGCGGUACUGCACAUGUGCGGUUUAUGCACCAGGUGUCAGUUGACCGUUAAUAUGCUAAUGAGGUGAUUCAUUCUCCGCCAAUCCCUGGAGGACAAGUAGUGGGGUGAUCCAAGCCCCACCAAUCCCUGAGAGUUAAUUAGCAUACUGUUGUCUAUAUAAGCCGAGUGAUUUUGCUGCUCGGAGUCCCUGUUCAAGAGAGCUGUAACACUCAGAAGAGCUGUAACACUAAGAAGAGCUGUAACACAGUAAAGGCUUGCUCGCAGAAGAAUUCUGUUGCCGCGCGUCGUUCUUACUGGCGGGACAUUGAGCACGCGACAGUUUACUUGCUCUGGCUCUUAUGAAGAAAGAAGAAGAAAAAUGGCAGCCACUCCAAGUGGCCUCUCUGACAAAGAGAAUCACCUGGCUUGGAAUAUAUCCAUUCGGGAAACAAGGCAGCUCCAAGAUUCAAGGAGACACAGUUUACCCAAGCGAGGAGAAAUCUUGAACUUGAAUCAUUUUUGCCUUCACAUCAGAUUGCCCUGUGCAGUCUUAAAAGUCCCAUUGUCCAUCCAGAAUCCCAUGAAAGUCAAAUCUGCAUCUCUUGAACAGAGACCCAGGUGACUGCUGUGAAAGGAUUGUUCAACCCCCAAUGGAUCAAAAUCAAUGAUUGAGAACUUCUACUCAAAGUGCUAAAACAUAGAUAAAAGAUUUUAUUUUCAUACGCAUGGAUCUCUUUCCUGUUACUAAAAACUUAUUUUAAAACAAAGAAAAUGUGACUAGAGCUGUUUAUCCCAUGAAUAAAUCAGAAAGGAAAAGUAAAACCUCA